rnacentral:rRNA from 1 species
AUCUGGGCGGCGGAAUUCAGGAUGGUCGUGUUCGCGCGCGGCCGUUUGAUAUUUCCGUCGCCGUGUCGGACGUCGCGACCUGUUCGCCAGUCGGUCCCUGCUCGGAGGAAUCGCGAUCGAGCUCGUUGCGCGGUACGUUUCGGCGUGUCGCGCGGCGAAGACGCGACUCUCUGGCUGACGGCGGACAGUAAGCAACGGUGUCCGGCGUCGUGUCUCGCACUCGACGUCCGGUGCCGGUCUGCGACGAUUUCUUCGGGCCUCUUUCCGACCCGUCUUGAAACACGGACCAAGGAGUCUAACAUGCGCGCGAGUCGCGGGGCAUCGAGCGUACCACGGUGCGCUCGUUAUGUGCGAAACCCGUCUCUGAAAGGCGUAAUGAAAGUGAACAGGGAAGAUGGCGUUCCGAGACCACGUACCGUGAUCGAGUGUCGCGGCCGGACGUCCGCACUCCCGGGGCGUCUCAAUGGCUCGUCGCGGACGCGGACGAUCGUCUCUCCGGGGACGGUGGUCGGUCUGCGUCGGACCGA